rnacentral:tRNA from 3 species
CGCGAGAUGAUGAAAUGGUAUCAUAUUAGGCUCAUAACCUAAAUUUGCUAGUUCGACUCUAGCUCUCGCAA